AAAAUGCGAUAAGUAAUGUGAAUUGCAAAAUUCAGUGAAUCAUCGAAUCUUUGAACGCACAUUGCGCCCGCCAGUAUUCUGGCGGGCAUGCCUGUUCGAGCGUCAUUUCAACCCUCAAGCUCAGCUUGGUGUUGGGACUCGCGGUAACCCGCGUUCCCCAAAUCGAUUGGCGGUCACGUCGAGCUUCCAUAGCGUAGUAAUCAUACACCUCGUUACUGGUAAUCGUCGCGGCCACGCCGUAAAACCCCAACUUCUGAAUGUUGACCUCGGAUCAGGUAGGAAUACCCGCUGAACUUAAGC
rnacentral:misc_RNA from 1 species